ensembl:lncRNA
UAUAUAUAUAUAUAUAUAUAUAUAUAUAUAUAUAUAUAUAUAUAUAUAUAUAUAUAUAUAUAUAUAAUUUUUUUUUUUUUUUUUUUUUUUAUAUAUCUGUUAUAUAACUGUUCAGAAGUUUGGAUUCAAUUCGAUUUUAUUUUAUUUAUUUAUUUUUGAAAAUAAAAAAUGAUUUUUUUUACUUUUAUUCAUCAAAGAAUCCCGAAAAAGUAUUAUAAUAUAUUGAGCAUUACAACUGGGUUUAACAUUAAGAAGAAAUGUUUUUUGAGCUCCAAAUUAUUAUAUUAGACUUAUUUCUGAAGUUUCAUGUGACACUGAAGACUGGUGUAGUGCCUGCUGAAAAUUCAACUUUGCCAUAAAAGGAAUAAAUAACAUUUUAAAAUACUUACAAAUUGAAAACAGUCAUUUUUGUAUUGUAUAAACUGUACCCAUAUUUUUGAACAAACGAAUGCAGCCUUGGUGAGAUUAAGCGACUUCUUUUAAAAAUAUUAGAAAAUCUUACUGACCCCAAACUUUUGAACAUUUCAUUUAUUUUUUUAUUUUAAGGCUGAUCUAAUUUUGUGUUUAGACACCAUAGUUACCACUUAAAUCGAUUGAUUCGUUAACAUUUUUUGACAUAAAAUAUCAGAGAACAAGAUAAAAUAUGCCAGUGAAAUCAAUUCACCUUAGUUUCUGAUUCUGCUCAGUACACAUGAGCAAUGUAUUAUAAAAUGUGACAAAGAUUAGUUCUUUUUCUUUCUCCUAAGAAACUUGCCUUCGCUCCGCCUGGCUACCCUCAUUUACCUCAGUUUCCUGUGUCAGUUUGCCUAUACUACAAACAACCAUCUACAAUUCUGUAAAUACUAGAAACUGUGAAUUUCUGGUUGUUUUAUUGUAUUUUGACAUAUGAUUCUUUUUCUGUGCCAGUUCUUUUGUAGCUGUCAAGCUUGCACCUUGAUCACGUUUUUGAACUGUCAGAGACCACACAGAAUGCUACACAUUUGACUUUUUCCUUUCUUUUUUUUUUUUUUACACCAGAAAUGUUCAUCUAACAAGAGUAGUGGGAAAUGUCUCUCUUUUUACAGUCUGUGAAGAUUAACUGAUUUCAUUGCACUCUUUAGCAUUUACAUAAACCCGAAAGUGAUGGGUGGUUCCAAAUUUCAACCAAUGAAGUGCUUCUGGUGAACAUAAGAUGUACAGGACUGCCUCAUGCAAGCAUCUACUGGCAGUUUUUAGUGUAGGCGUAUAUGUUUAACUGUAAACUAACUGUAAAAGAAAAUCUUUGCUUAUUAUUAAACGAUGUCUGUUGUUAUUAACUAAACAGAGCUAUUCUUUUUCUAAGAACUGUUAGAUUUAAUAAUAAUAGUCUGGGGAUGAAAUCCUGAAGUGUUGCAUUGGAGAUUCUGUAUCAAAUCCUUUGAAUA